rnacentral:rRNA from 1 species
GAUGAACGCUGGCGGCGUGCCUAAUACAUGCAAGUCGAGCGAACGGACGAGAAGCUUGCUUCUCUGAUGUUAGCGGCGGACGGGUGAGUAACACGUGGAUAACCUACCUAUAAGACUGGGAUAACUUCGGGAAACCGGAGCUAAUACCGGAUAAUAUUUUGAACCGCAUGGUUCAAAAGUGAAAGACGGUCUUGCUGUCACUUAUAGAUGGAUCCGCACUGCAUUAGCUAGUAGGUAGGGUAACGGCUUACCAAGGCAACGAUGCCUAGCUGACCUGAGAGGAUGACCGGCCACACUGGAACUGAGACACGGUCCAGACUCCUACGGGAGGCAGCAGUGGGGAAUAUUGCACAAUGGGCGCAAGCCUGAUGCAGCAAUGCCGCGUGUAUGAAGAAGGCCUUCGGGUUGUAAAGUACUUUCAGCGGGGAGGAAGGGAGUAAAGUUAAUACCUGUGCUCAUUGACGUUACCUACAGAAGAAGCACCGGCUAACUCCGUG